rnacentral:rRNA from 1 species
CCCUUCGGGGAACCUGUAGUUAGGUGCUGCAUGGCUGUCGUCAGCUCGUGUCGUGAGAUGUUGGGUUAAGUCCCGCAACGAGCGCAACCCUUGUCGUUAGUUGCCAGCAUUAAGUUGGGCACUCUAACGAGACUGCCGACCUUUAAGUCGGAGGAAGGUGGGGAUGACGUCAAGUCCUCAUGGCCCUUAUGUCCAGGGCUACACACGUGCUACAAUGGGCGGUACAAUGGGUCGCGAACCCGCGAGGGGGAGCCAAUCCCAAAAAGCCGUCCUCAGUACGGAUAAGAGUCUGCAACUCGACUCUUUGAAGUCGGAAUCGCUAGUAAUCCCUGAUCAGCAUGGCAGGGGUGAAUACGUUCCCGGGCCUUGUACACACCGCCCGUCACACCAUGGGAGUCGAUUGCUCCAGAAGUGGCUGAGCCAACCCGCAAGGGAGGCAGGUCCCCAAGGAGUGAUCGGUAACUGGGGUGAAGUCGUAACAAGGUAGCCGUAGGGGAACC